rnacentral:rRNA from 1 species
AUUGAACGCUGGCGGCAGGCUUAACACAUGCAAGUCGAGCGGGGUGAUGGUGCUUGCACUAUCACUUAGCGGCGGACGGGUGAGUAAUGCUUAGGAAUCUGCCUAUUAGUGGGGGACAACAUCUCGAAAGGGAUGCUAAUACCGCAUACGUCCUACGGGAGAAAGCAGGGGAUCACUUGUGACCUUGCGCUAAUAGAUGAGCCUAAGUCGGAUUAGCUAGUCGGUGGGGUAAAGGCCUACCAAGGCGACGAUCUGUAGCGGGUCUGAGAGGAUGAUCCGCCACACUGGGACUGUGACACGGCCCAGACUCCUACGGGAGGCAGCAGUGGGGAAUAUUGGACAAUGGGGGGAACCCUGAUCCAGCCAUGCCGCGUGUGUGAAGAAGGCCUUAUGGUUGUAAAGCACUUUAAGCGAGGAGGAGGCUCUUUUGGUUAAUACCCAAGAUGAGUGGACGUUACUCGCAGAAUAAGCACCGGCUAACUCCGUGCCAGCCGCCGCCGUAA